rnacentral:misc_RNA from 1 species
GAUGAAGAACGUAGCGAAAUGCGAUAAGUAAUGUGAAUUGCAGAAUUCAGUGAAUCAUCGAAUCUUUGAACGCACAUUGCGCCCCUUGGUAUUCCGAGGGGCAUGCCUGUUCGAGCGUCAUUUCAACCCUCAAGCACAGCUUGGUCUUGGGCUUCGCCGCUAACCCGGCGGGUCUUAAAAUCAGUGGCGGUGCCGUCGGGCCCUGAGCGCAGUAAUCUCUCUCGCUAUAGGGUCCCGGCGGAUGCUGGCCAGUAACACCCAAUUUUCUAUGGUUGACCUCGGAUCAGGUAGGGAUACCCGCUGAACUUAAGCAUAUCAAUAAGCGGAGGA